CCUCUUAAACACUUUGGACUGAAACAGAGUGGGCUAAGAGGAGGGAUUUUAGGACUUGGAGGAGUAGGGCACAUGGGGGUGAAGAUAGCAAAGGCAAUGGGACACCACGUAACUGUGAUUAGUUCUUCUGACAAGAAGCGGGAGGAGGCUAUGGAACAUCUUGGUGCUGAUGAAUACUUGGUCAGCUCGGAUGUGGAAAGCAUGCAAAAAGCUGCUGAUCAACUUGACUAUAUCAUCGAUACUGUGCCUGUGGUUCACCCUCUCGAGCCUUACCUUUCUCUAUUGAAGCUUGAUGGCAAGCUGAUCUUGAUGGGUGUUAUUAAUGCCCCAUUGCAGUUUGUUACGCCUAUGGUUAUGCUUGGUGAGUGUCCCUCUAUUUGCUUUGAAGAUUAGUUAUGUAUUCUCUACUUAAUUUUCAAUUGAGUAUAAACCUGGGAAAUUUUUGCUAUAAUCCAC
rnacentral:lncRNA from 1 species